rnacentral:tRNA from 1 species
GGGGCCAUAGCUCAGCUGGGAGAGCGCUUCAAUGGCAUUGAAGAGGUCAGCGGUUCGAUCCCGCUUGGCUCCACCA